rnacentral:rRNA from 1 species
UACGUAGGGUCCGAGCGUUGUCCGGAGUUACUGGGCGUAAAGCGCGCGCAGGCGGCCCGGCAAGCAUGGCGUGAAAGCCCCCGGCUCAACCGGGGAGGGUCGUCGUGGACUGUCGGGCUUGAGGGCGGUAGGGGUUGGUGGAAUGCCCGGUGUAGUGGUGAAAUGCGUAGAGAUCGGGCGGAACGCCCGUGGCGAAGGCGGCCAACUGGGCCGACCCUGACGCUGAGGCGCGAAGGCGUGGGGAGCGAAC